rnacentral:rRNA from 1 species
GGUUAAGCGACUAAGCGUACACGGUGGAUGCCCUGGCAGUCAGAGGCGAUGAAGGACGUGCUAAUCUGCGAAAAGCGCCGGCGAGGUGAUAUGAACCCUUGACCCGGCGAUGUCCGAAUGGGGAAACCCAGUGCAAUUCGUUGCACUAUCGUUAACUGAAUACAUAGGUUAACGAGGCGAACCGGGGGAACUGAAACAUCUAAGUACCCCGAGGAAAAGAAAUCAACCGAGAUUCCCCCAGUAGCGGCGAGCGAACGGGGAGCAGCCCAGAGUCUGAAUCAGCUUGUGUGUUAGUGGAAGCGUCUGGAAAGUCGCACGGUACAGGGUGAAAGUCCCGUACACGAAAAUGCACAGGUUGUGAACUCGAAGAGUAGGGCGGGACACGUGGUAUCCUGUCUGAAUAUGGGGGGACCAUCCUCCAAGGCUAAAUACUCCUGACUGACCGAUAGUGAACCAGUACCGUGAGGGAAAGGCGAAAAGAACCCCGGCGAGGGGAGUGAAAAAGAACCUGAAACCGUGUACGUACAAGCAGUGGGAGCACCUUCGUGGUGUGACUGCGUACCUUUUGUAUAAUGGGUCAGCGACUUAUAUUCUGUAGCAAGGUUAACCGUAUAGGGGAGCCGAAGGGAAACCGAGUCUUAACUGGGCGUUAAGUUGCAGGGUAUAGACCCGAAACCCGGUGAUCUAGCCAUGGGCAGGUUGAAGGUUGGGUAACACUAACUGGAGGACCGAACCGACUAAUGUUGAAAAAUUAGCGGAUGACUUGUGGCUGGGGGUGAAAGGCCAAUCAAACCGGGAGAUAGCUGGUUCUCCCCGAAAGCUAUUUAGGUAGCGCCUCGUGAACUCAUCUUCGGGGGUAGAGCACUGUUUCGGCUAGGGGGCCAUCCCGGCUUACCAACCCGAUGCAAACUACGAAUACCGAAGAAUGUUAUCACGGGAGACACACGGCGGGUGCUAACGUCCGUCGUGAAGAGGGAAACAACCCAGACCGCCAGCUAAGGUCCCAAAGUCAUGGUUAAGUGGGAAACGAUGUGGGAAGGCCCAGACAGCCAGGAUGUUGGCUUAGAAGCAGCCAUCAUUUAAAGAAAGCGUAAUAGCUCACUGGUCGAGUCGGCCUGCGCGGAAGAUGUAACGGGGCUAAACCAUGCACCGAAGCUGCGGCAGCGACACUAUGUGUUGUUGGGUAGGGGAGCGUUCUGUAAGCCGUUGAAGGUGGCCUGUGAGGGUUGCUGGAGGUAUCAGAAGUGCGAAUGCUGACAUAAGUAACGAUAAAGCGGGUGAAAAGCCCGCUCGCCGGAAGACCAAGGGUUCCUGUCCAACGUUAAUCGGGGCAGGGUGAGUCGACCCCUAAGGCGAGGCCGAAAGGCGUAGUCGAUGGGAAACAGGUUAAUAUUCCUGUACUUGGUGUUACUGCGAAGGGGGGACGGAGAAGGCUAUGUUAGCCGGGCGACGGUUGUCCCGGUUUAAGCAUGUAGGCGGAGGUUCCAGGUAAAUCCGGUACCUUUUUAACGCUGAGGUGUGAUGACGAGGCACUACGGUGCUGAAGUAACAAAUGCCCUGCUUCCAGGAAAAGCCUCUAAGCAUCAGGUAACACGAAAUCGUACCCCAAACCGACACAGGUGGUCAGGUAGAGAAUACCAAGGCGCUUGAGAGAACUCGGGUGAAGGAACUAGGCAAAAUGGUGCCGUAACUUCGGGAGAAGGCACGCUGAUAUGUAGGUGAAGCCCCUGCGGGUGGAGCUGAAAUCAGUCGAAGAUACCAGCUGGCUGCAACUGUUUAUUAAAAACACAGCACUGUGCAAACACGAAAGUGGACGUAUACGGUGUGACGCCUGCCCGGUGCCGGAAGGUUAAUUGAUGGGGUUAGCGGUAACGCGAAGCUCUUGAUCGAAGCCCCGGUAAACGGCGGCCGUAACUAUAACGGUCCUAAGGUAGCGAAAUUCCUUGUCGGGUAAGUUCCGACCUGCACGAAUGGCGUAAUGAUGGCCAGGCUGUCUCCACCCGAGACUCAGUGAAAUUGAACUCGCUGUGAAGAUGCAGUGUACCCGCGGCAAGACGGAAAGACCCCGUGAACCUUUACUAUAGCUUGACACUGAACACUGGUCCUUGAUGUGUAGGAUAGGUGGGAGGCUUUGAAGCGUGGACGCCAGUCUGCGUGGAGCCAACCUUGAAAUACCACCCUUUAAUGGCUGGUGUUCUAACGUAGACCCGUGAUCCGGGUUGCGGACAGUGUCUGGUGGGUAGUUUGACUGGGGCGGUCUCCUCCCAAAGAGUAACGGAGGAGCACGAAGGUUAGCUAAUCCUGGUCGGACAUCAGGAGGUUAGUGCAAUGGCAUAAGCUAGCUUGACUGCGAGAGUGACGGCUCGAGCAGGUGCGAAAGCAGGUCAUAGUGAUCCGGUGGUUCUGAAUGGAAGGGCCAUCGCUCAACGGAUAAAAGGUACUCCGGGGAUAACAGGCUGAUACCGCCCAAGAGUUCAUAUCGACGGCGGUGUUUGGCACCUCGAUGUCGGCUCAUCACAUCCUGGGGCUGAAGUAGGUCCCAAGGGUAUGGCUGUUCGCCAUUUAAAGUGGUACGCGAGCUGGGUUUAGAACGUCGUGAGACAGUUCGGUCCCUAUCUGCCGUGGGCGCUGGAGAAUUGAGGGGGGCUGCUCCUAGUACGAGAGGACCGGAGUGGACGCAUCACUGGUGUUCGGGUUGUCAUGCCAAUGGCACUGCCCGGUAGCUAAAUGCGGAAGAGAUAAGUGCUGAAAGCAUCUAAGCACGAAACUUGCCCCGAGAUGAGUUCUCCCUGAGACUUAAAGUCUCCUGAAGGAACGUUGAAGACGACGACGUUGAUAGGUCGGGUGUGUAAGCGCAGCGAUGCGUUGAGCUAACCGAUACUAAUGAACCGUGAGGCUUAACCUU